GACGAACGCUGGCGGCGUGCUUAACACAUGCAAGUCGAACGGUAAGGCCUUGUUUUUGUGGCGUGUUCGAGUGGCGAACAGGUGUGUAACACGUGAGUAACCUGCCCUUUACUUUGGGAUAACUCCUGUAAACUCGGGCUCUUAUCCGAUAUAACCUCCUUCUGCAUGGUGGUUGUUGUUAAGUUUUGGCGGUUGGGCACGGACUCGCGGUUUAUCAUCUUGUUGGUGGGGUAGUGGCUUACCAAGGCUUUGACGGGUUGCCGGCCUGAGAGGGUGACCGGCCACAUUGGGACUGAGAUGCGGGCCAGACUCCUACGGGAGGCAGCAGUGGGGAAUAUUGCAAAAAGGGCGGAAGCAUGAAGCAGCAACGCCGCGUGCGAGAUGACGGCCGUCGGGUUGUAAACCGCUUUCGCCUGUGACGAAGAGUGAGUGACGGUAAUGGGUAAAAAAGCAACGGCUAACUACGUG
rnacentral:rRNA from 1 species